AGGCGGCAGAUUAAGUUAGAGGUGAAAUUCCGAGGCUCAACGGGGUGAAGUGCCAUUGAUACUGCCUUGCUGGAAUGCGGAUGACGUGGGAGGAAUGUGUUGUGUAGCGGUGAAAUGCAUAGAUAUCACACAGAACACCGAUUGCGAAGGCAUCUCACGAAUCCGCGAUUGACGCUGAUGCACGAAAGCGUGGGUAUCAAACAGG
rnacentral:rRNA from 1 species